UAUCAUUAAAAGAUCAAAAGAGAAGUUUAAAAUUAAAUUAUUUUUUCAGAAGAUAAGUAAAUUAAAAUUAAAUUAAAUUGCUUUUAAAUGUGAAAAAGUCAUUCUUUUUGCAGAUAUACCAGAAAGGGAAGUGUUACAUAAAAUGGGACAGACGAAGUAAGAAGUAGCAAUGAACAUAACAAAAAGUAAUAGAAGGUUCUAGAAAUGGGAAGAAGAAAGAGGGAAAAAAAUAGCUAAAAGCUUACACAGUCUCUUGGAGAACGCCUUGGUAAAUAUAAGCAGACCAAAUGCCGGCGACACAAAAGGCAAGGACCAUAACAUGGCGGAGGCCGGCCCCGCGAAACUCCAUUGGGCUUAAUGUCGUCGGCACCACCUUGAUCCCGACUGCCACGUGUGUUUCCCCGGCAACUCUCCGGCGGAGGCCGGCCCCGUGAGACUCCAUUGAGCUUAAUGUCGUCGGCACCUCCUUGAUCCCGCCUGACACGUGUGUUUCCCGGCAACUCUCCGAUGAUUACACACCGGUGAUAGGGAAGCGACGGGAUACGUCGGGGAUUUACCGUUGGUUUUUUCUUUAACUGCCACUGCACCGAAUCGCGAUGGUUGGGAAAUUUGUAUUAUUACAGAAAGUGGGAUCUGAACUACGUAUAUUUUCCACGUGGCGUGUGUUUAUUGGGUUAAAUAAGUGUUAG
rnacentral:lncRNA from 1 species